rnacentral:lncRNA from 1 species
AUGCGCCCUCGGGCUGCCAGAGCACCGCCGCCUUGCUCAACUAGCUCAGCCGGAUCUCGUCCCUGGGUCGCGGGACCAUGUGCGGGGGACGCGCAGAGGUCACAGUCACUGCGGGGGUGUUGGGAAACGGACACCUCUCCUGCCUUGGAGCUUCUCCCUUUAGGCCACCUCCGGGGCUCCGGAGAACUUCCCCUGCGCAGGCUUGGCCCUGUCCCCUCUGGACGCCAGACUCUGGAUUCUCCGCGAGCUUCAGGAAGGGACGUUUCUUCUCAACGCCUCCGCGAAGGAAAGUUUGGGAGCAUCAUCCCGACUGCUUUCUUAGCCAGCGCUGGAGAGCAGCCGGAGGACGCAUCAGACACCCAGGCAUCCUUCUGGACGACUCCAGGGAGCACUCUUGCUUGUGUCCCCUCUCCUGCCAGCAUGCCCAAGUGACAGCUGUGGGUAUAGGUGCGGGGGUGUCCCUUGAGGCGAGAAGGGAAGUCGCUGGAGAUGGCCGGGUCGGGGGCUGCCGGGGCCGCGACUACUCCUUCGGGAAGCCGGCUGCCCUCUCCAGAAUCACUGAUGUGUGA